rnacentral:rRNA from 1 species
UCCUACGGGCGGCUGCAGUAGGGAAUAUUGCUCAAUGGGCGAAAGCCUGAAGCAGCAACGCCGCGUGUGCGAUGAAGGCCUUCGGGUCGUAAAGCACUUUUCUAAGAGAUGAGAAAGGACAGUAUCUUAGGAAUAAGUCUCGGCUAACUACGUGCCAGCAGCCGCGGUAAAACGUAGGAGGCGAGCGUUAUCCGGAUUCACUGGGCGUAAAGCGCGUGCAGGCGGUUCGGGAAGUUGGGCGUGAAAUCUCCUGGCUUAACUAGGAGAGGUCGUCCAAUACUACCGGGCUUGAGAGGGGUAGAGGAAGAUGGAAUUCCAGGUGUAGUGGUGAAAUGCGUAGAUAUCUGGAGGAACACCAGUGGCGAAAGCGAUCUUCUGGACCAUUUCUGACGCUCAGACGCGAAAGCUAGGGUAGUAAACGGGAUUAGAUACCCUAGUAGUCA